AUUGAACGCUGGCGGAAUGCUUUACACAUGCAAGUCGAACGGUAGAGGGGGCAACCCCUCGAGAGUGGCGAACGGGUGGGUAAUAUAUCGGAACGUGCCCAGUCGUGGGGGAUAACGUAGCGAAAGUUACGCUAAUACCGCAUACGAUCUAAGGAUGAAAGCGGGGGAUCGCAAGACCUCGCGCGAUUGGAGCGGCGGAUAUCAGAGUAGGUAGUUGGUGGGGUAAAGGCUCACCAAGCCAACGAUCUGUAGCUGGUCUGAGAGGACGACCAGCCACACUGGAACUGAGACACGGUCCAGACUCCUACGGGAGGCAGCAGUGGGGAAUUUUGGACAAUGGACGCAAGUCUGAUCCAGCCAUUCCGCGUGCAGGAUGAAGGCCCUCGGGUUGUAAACUGCUUUUGUACGGAACGAAAAGGUCUCUCUUAAUACGGGGGGCUCAUGACGGUACCGUAAGAAUAAGCACCGGCUAACUACGUGCCAGCAGCCGCCGUAA
rnacentral:rRNA from 1 species